AGAAAACUCCUGUUUCUUCACUUUACAUAACUUGAAGACGGAAUUUAUUGGACACAUUUACAAUGCUCUCCUGAACAUUGCAAUUUGCUACUUUUGCGCUGAAAGUCCGUUACCAUGGCAACAGUGUACUUAGGAUAAUUAAGCUCAAAAUUUGUCCCUUUCCGGCCAUUUUAAAAAUUCCCUUCCGUAAAUUUUUUAAAACUUUGCUGAAAAGAUAAUUUUCGUAUAAGGCGAGUUUU